UGUCAUUGGCCGAACCGACAGACA
rnacentral:siRNA from 1 species